rnacentral:rRNA from 1 species
CCCUUAGACGUUCUGGGCCGCACGCGCGCUACACUGACCAGUGCAACAAGCAUCCGUCCUUGGCCGACAGGCUCGGGCAAUCUUUGAACGCUGGUCGUGAUGGGGAUAGAUUAUUGCAAUUAUUAAUCUUCAACGAGGAAUGCCUAGUAAGCGCAAGUCAUCAGCUUGCGUUGAUUACGUCCCUGCCCUUUGUACACACCGCCCGUCGCUCCUACCGAUUGAAUGGUCCGGUGAAGCGUUCGGACCGUGGCCUUUGGACGGUUCGCCGUCUGUUGGCUGCGGGAAGUUCGUUAAACCUUAUCAUUUAGAGGAAGGAGAAGUCGUANCA